rnacentral:rRNA from 1 species
UACGUAGGGUGCAAGCGUUGUCCGGAAUUAUUGGGCGUAAAGAGCUCGUAGGCGGUGUGUCACGUCGGCCGUGAAAACCUGCAGCUUAACUGUGGGCGUGCGGUCGAUACGGGCAUCACUGGAGUUCGGCAGGGGAGACUGGAAUUCCUGGUGUAGCGGUGAAAUGCGCAGAUAUCAGGAGGAACACCGGUGGCGAAGGUGGGUCUCUGGGCCGAUAACUGACGCUGGAGGAGCGGAAAGCGUGGGAGCAAACAGG